CAGCCGUAAACUAUGCGCGUUAGGUGUAUCGGUGACCACGAGUUACCGAGGUGCCGAAGGGAAACCGUGAAACGUGCCGCCUGGGAAGUACGGUCGCAAGGCUGAAACUUAAAGGAAUUGGCGGGGGAGCACCACAACAGGUGGAGCCUGCGGUUUAAUUGGACUCAACGCCGGGAAGCUCACCGGAUAGGACAGCAGAAUGAUUGCCGGGCUGAAGACCCUGCAUGACUAGCUGAGAGGAGGUGCAUGGCGUCAGUGACUGU
rnacentral:rRNA from 1 species